rnacentral:rRNA from 1 species
CCUACGGGAGGCAGCAGUAGGGAAUCUUCCACAAUGGGCGAAAGCCUGAUGGAGCAACGCCGCGUGGGUGAAGAAGGUCUUCGGAUCGUAAAACCCUGUUGUUAGAGAAGAAAGUGCGUGAGAGUAACUGUUCACGUUUCGACGGUAUCUAACCAGAAAGCCACGGCUAACUACGUGCCAGCAGCCGCGGUAAUACGUAGGUGGCAAGCGUUAUCCGGAUUGAUUGGGCGUAAAGGGAACGCAGGCGGUCUUGUAAGUCUGAUGUGAAAGCCUUCGGCUUAACCGGAGUAGUGCAUUGGAAACUGGGAGACUUGAGUGCAGAAGAGGAGAGUGGAACUCCAUGUGUAGCGGUGAAAUGCGUAGAUAUAUGGAAGAACACCAGUGGCGAAAGCGGCUCUCUGGUCUGUAACUGACGCUGAGGUUCGAAAGCGUGGGUAGCAAACAGGAUUAGAUACCCCAGUAGUC